rnacentral:lncRNA from 1 species
GGGCCCACCAUUGUGUACAGUUUGAGGCUACAUAAAGAAACCUGUCCACCAGAGGUGCGCGUAUGCGAUUGACUGUGCUGUAAUGAUGCAUGGAUCUGACUAUGUACUCGUGCGCUAGGGGCGCGACUGAAGUGCCGGCCCCUCUGCGCGUGCUGCAAUACGCACGCCUACAUUUACGAGGUGCAUAGGAGACGAGCCGCCCCAGCCUGACGGUUGGGGAGCUUGGAGUGGAGAUGUCCACGGGUGUAACCCAUUGGGAUGCCCUGUCCCCAACCGUUUCAGCUGCAGCCCGCAACAGCCCAUACAUACCGGCCACUAUGUACUCGUGCGUUAGGGGCGCGACUGAAGUGCCGGUCCACCUGCGCGUGCUGCAAUACGCACGCCUACAUUUACGAGGUGCAUAGGAGACGAGCCGCCCCAGCCUGACGGUUGGGGAGCUUGGAGUGGAGAUG